ensembl:lncRNA
AGGAAGAGCUGACAUCGAAGGACAAAAAUUGACAUUGCUAUGAACGCUUGGCCGCCACAAGCAAGUUGUGGAGGGUUAUUAUCACUUGGUUUGAACAGCUGCCACCUUUCUGUCAGCAAUAUUUUAGUCUUUUUGGAUUUGUUGAUAUAAAUUGUGUGUUUCUUGUGAAACUGCAGAUUCUCCUCCGAGGCCCACAUUACAAGUCUCAGGUGAUCAGAAUGAGCUGAAGGAGAAGGAGUCUGUCACUAUAACCUGCUCAGCUCCCACUCCCUGUCCACACCUCCCUCCUCGACUCACCUGGAGCCUCCAACAAGACGCUCACAGGCAAACAGAGGAAAACACUGAUGGAACUUUAACCACUAAGAUCCAGCAGACCAUCACUCUGUCAGACCAACAUGAUGGAUUCAAGCUCAGCUGCUCUGCUGUGUAUCCUGUUGAUGGAGGACAACAUGUGAAAACAGCUGUGGCAGAGUUCACUCUCAGAGUUUCUUGUAAGUGAUCCUGUCAGCACAUCACAGUUCAGAUGUUUCUGAUCAAUCAGGUGAACAAGAGUCACUUUUUCCUCCCUCAGAUGCUCCUAAAGACACGUCAGCCUCCAUCAGUCCAUCAGGUUUGGUGUCUGCAGGGAGCUGGGUGAACCUGAGCUGCUCCAGCAGAGCCAGACCUGCUGUCAACUACACCUGGUUCAAGAUCAGUGAUCAUGGAGCAGUCAGAGUGUCUGAAGGAGACUUUUACAGCUUUAAUGUGACGGAAGGAGGAGAAUAUUACUGUGUGGCUGCAAAUCAUCUGGGAAAUCAGACUUCAGAAGAGAUUCUUCUGACUGUUGAAGGUAAUGAGAGCAAAAUUACAAAAAUUCUAUUGGUCUCUGCUGACAUGCUGUCAUGAAUCAAUCCUGAAGAAUUAAAGUCAGAACAAACUUUACCUACUUAACUGAUAGUGACAACAGAUUUCACUGUUUCUCUCAGAUCCUUCUCUGCAUCUGAACACCAUGACUGGAGUAGUUGUUGGGAUCAUCGUGUUCAUCUGCCUGCUGCUCGGUGUUUACAUCUUCAUGUGUUGGAGGAGAAGAAAGAACAGAAAUUUAACUGUACAAGUGGGUCAGAGUCAGACAGGUGAAGAGCUGGCUGCUGAAGAGCCUGCAGAAAAACCUCAGGAAGAGGGAGAAAACAUCCACUAUGGAGAGAUUGACUUCUCCAAGCAGAAACCUGAACCGUUCUCCAAGUCUGAGAUCAGAAGCAAGCAGGAGGACACUGUGUACGCAGAGGUCAGAGGCUCUCAGCCGGGAAACAGCUCCACACACACUGCUGACCACCCCGAGGAUCUCAACGCUCUUUACGCUGAAAUGAAGGAGAAAUCAGAAUAUUCUGUUGGAUUUACUGAAGUGUGAAGUCAUGAAGAACUUUACUUCUGUACUUAAGUAGAUUGCAGUACUUCAUUUGAACUAUUAUUUUUUCCAUCUUUCCUGCUUUCAAACACAAAUAUCUGUACUUUCUGCUCCUCACAUUGAAAAUGAAAUUGGCUUGUGAUUUCUUUAAACUGAUGCCAAAUCAACAUGGAGUAAUUUGAAUUAACAACACUUAAGUGAGCUAUGGAGAGAAGGCAUCAACAGGGUUGAUCGGUUUGAGAGACAAAAUCAAACGAACACUUUAAAAAAAAAGCCCAAAGCCAUCCUCCAACCACACACUCUGCCUGCUAUUUAAUCUCUUCUUCUUUUUGUCAUUGUUUUUGUGUAUUCCCUCUUAUACUUUGCCAACCGAACAGAAGUCAGAGCUUCUUGUAUGUUACUCAUAGACAGUAUAAAAGAUGAACCUGGCACCUGGCUCCAAAAAUUAAGCCUGCCCAAAGUGUCAAAAACUUUUCAAUUUAAAUGGGACACCAAUAAAACAGGGUCAGCUGCUUUUCUUCUGAGAGUGCGAGGCCGGUAACGGUUCCUAUAGUGCAGAACCCAGUCAAACACAGAAACUCAACUGCAACUGUGGAUAGUGCAGUACACACACACACACACACACACACACACACACACACACAUCAAACAUUUUACUACUUCCUCGUUCAGUUGAGGGUGCACACUUGGCACCCCUACUCCUAGACAUCGGCUCUCAUACAUUUAAAUAUGCACAUGCACUCUGAUAUAUUCAUUUUUCAACCUGGUUAAUAUUUAAAAAUUUGUAUUUGAUAUGGAAUUCCUCAUUCAUACUGUUCCAUGGUUUGCUAAAUACACAGAUUUUUUUUUCAGUUGUCAUUUUUCUACAAACUUAUUUUGACAGUGGGAUUCUUGUUUCUCAAGAAGUGUGAAGACAAGGGAAAAGAACAUUUUCUUGGGAAUGUGAAGAUCUGCUGUUUGUUGUAUAAAUAAAGUUCAAUUCAGUAGUCUGUCCUUGU